rnacentral:lncRNA from 1 species
GAUAACUUUUCACUAGCUUUUAGACCCACCUCUUCGUGCAAAUAGCAGACCAUUCAGAAUAUGAAGGUCCAUAACUCCUGGCUAUGGAACAGUAGGCAAGAGAAGGGCCACAGAUUCUGUUGGUGCCUUACUUAGAAAGCACCAAUUAGCAACACACCACAUAUUUUUAUAUCUAUAAUUUUCUAUAUCCACUACAAAAUAUGACCUCCCUGAUUGAACUGGCUGUGCGCGGACUAGAAACCAUGUAUUUUCCUAGCACUUUACACACUAUGACUGAUACUCACUACCCAUAUCUCUCGUGUUCAUCUUAAAAACUAGAAUGGUGUUUUCAAAUUUGUCUACAAAUCCAGCCACAUAUUACAUCUCAUCUAUUUCAUAAUUGUUUGAACUCUGAAGCUCAAUAUCAAAAGCAGACACACUAGACCAAGAAGGAUGAAUAAAACAACAAUGUGUGACUCUUUCAUCCCAGUAUUGGCCAAGAAUCUUCACUAUCCCUUAACUCUUUCACUCAGAAAACAUUAUCUUCCUCUGUUUGAAGCAAUUUUCCCCUGCUUGCUGAAUUAUAAAUGGUGAAGGUUCGACAUUACAUUUUUUGUAGUCAGCAUCCUGUUUCUGGAGCUAAGCUUUUCCAUAGUAGGCGACCAUGCAGCCUCUUUCUUCUUUCUAGGGACCAACCUUGGUAGAAGAACUAGGGAGACACUGCAGUUUACGCCCUUUAUUGGUUAUGCAUAUUCCCCAACUGAAGGAUAUGAGGUUUUGAUUGCAUAUGUAGAUAGUGAUAUCAUUCUGUUCCAUCCAUUUCUAUUGGAAGGUUAGAUAGUGCAAACAUUCUGUCGGAUUUUAUUUCCAAAAAUCAAAGGAGAAUUAAAAGAUCAAAAAAGUUGUGGUUGUUAGAUGGAUGUCUAGAUAUGAAAGGGGCAAUCUAGUCAUGCAAAAUAGCACAGAUUGAACUGUAGCUUACCCAUCACACCUACCAGAAUUUAAUCUAAAAAAGAGGUGCGCCAAGAAGUACAAUCUAAUUUGCUGCAAAAAAAAUUCAUGCACUAACAAAAUGAUUGAAUCAUACCUUGGAUUUUUUUUUAUUUUUUAUGUAAAUCAUACCUUGGAUUGAUGGAGUUUAAAAAGGGUUAAUUCCAAAGAAACUCUAAAUCAUUGAAUCAAUAAUAACUUUAUGAUUUUACUUCUCAUUCAAUAAUAUUACACUCAAAUAUAUAUAAUGGUACACAUCUAAAGAAGAAAGGUUAGAAGGAAGACCUGAGGUCCUACUUUGGCCUCUUAUAACAUUGAGCAUGAAAUGGAAUCUGAGCACUGAACGAUCUAUGUUAAUGCAAAAUAAUUGAAAGCUUGAAUAUUCAGAUUAAUCAAACCCUAAGACAAAAUGCCUCUCCAUCCUACUAU